CCUACGUGCGGCAGCAGUGGGGAAUAUUGGGCAAUGGAGGCAACUCUGACCCAGCAACGCCGCGUGAAUGAUGAAGGUCUUCGGAUUGUAAAGUUCUUUUCUAAGGGAAGAAGAAAGUGACGGUACCUUAGGAAUAAGCCUCGGCUAACUACGUGCCAGCAGCCGCGGUAAUACGUAGGAGGCAAGCGUUAUCCGGAAUGACUGGGCGUAAAGGGUGCGUAGGUGGUUCAGCAAGUUAGUAGCGUAACUCCGGGGCUCAAACUCGGCACUACUACUAAAACUGUUGGACUUGAGUGCAGGAGUGGCAACUGGAAUUCCUAGUGUAGCGGUGGAAUGCGUAGAUAUUAGGAGGAAAACCAGUGGCGAAGGCGAGUUGCUGGACUGUAACUGACACUGAGGCACGAAAGCGUGGGGAGCAAACAGGAUUAGAUACCCGAGUAGUC
rnacentral:rRNA from 1 species